AACAAACCUGUUGUCGUACUAUUUGUUGGAUGCCUUGCUAAGCGAUUCAAAGGAGAAGCAUAUCUAAGUGCCACGGCAGCAUGUACAUGGUACUUCAACCCAGACAUUCCUGAAGCCCAGGUGUAUUACAGCAAGUUGCUAAACACUAAGCUUCAAAUGAUACGCCCUCAAGCAACUGAGAAAGAAU